UUCUCUCUCUAACUUCUCUCUAGCCUCCCUAAACCCCUCCCAAGUCUACGGAACCUCCCUAGCAUGAGAAGAAAGCCCCGGAGCGCCCGACGGCUCCGAGAAGAAAAGCUUUCGGCUUGGAAACGCUGCUCCAGCGAAGCCCGGUUUUUAAUAAAAACUCGCUGUUUUGUCGAGGAAAAUUGUUUUGAGAUAACGAAGUGCUGUCUGAGUUCGGAAUCACCACCUAAUCAGGUGUUGAUAUGAAGUGACAUUACACUGAGAGAUUUAAAGAGAUGUAGAUCACUAGUGUAAAUAAUUGUAAGUUCUGUUUAUGCUUAUGUUUCUGUAUUAACGAUGACAUCCCA